CGGAACGGGUGAGUAAUGCGUGACCAACCUGCCCCACUGCUCCAGAAUAGCUCUUGGAAACGGGUGGGUAAUGCUGGAUGCUCCAACUUGACGCAUGUCUUGUUGGGAAAGUGUUUAGUGGCAUGGGAUGGGGUCGCGUCCUAUCAGCUUGUAGGCGGGGUAAUGGCCCACCUAGGCUUCGACGGGUAGCCGGCCUGAGAGGGCGGACGGCCACAUUGGGACUGAGAUACGGCCCAGACUCCUACGGGAGGCAGCAGAA
rnacentral:rRNA from 1 species